rnacentral:misc_RNA from 1 species
GCGCACGGUGUUGGUUCGCGACCUCGCCGCACGAGGCCUCCAAAGUCAACGCUGGAUUUGUCUCUGGCUCCUGUAGAUCCUUAAUAUAAGUAUCCCAACAAAAUGAUUUUCCACAAGAUUUGUUUCACAAGCAAACGAAGCAUAAUAUGCAAACGGAGAAUUAUGUAAUUAAUAAAAAUUACGAAAAUUUACCGAGCACAAGCAAGCAACAAACUAGUGAUCUAGACAUUGGUAAUUGUCAAGUAUUGCAACAAGAUGAUUUUCCACAAGAUUUGUUUCACAAGCAACCGAAGCAUAACAUGUAAACGGAGCAUUAUGUAAUUAAUAAAAAUUACGAAAAUGUACCGAGCACAAGCAAGCAACAAACUUAGUGAUCUGGACAUUGGUAAUUGUCAAGAUUAAACAAUUGGUUCGAGUUGUAUGCGAGGAUUUAAAAACAUCGUGUAUAAGAUUAAUGAGACAAAUCUUCAGCAAUGAAUUAGCCAUGGAAUACAGCUAGUAUGGAGCGAAAAAGAAAAAUGUCUUCAGCAACUUACAAUUGUGUAAAGUGUGAUAAGAAAGUAGCAUACAACUGCAACAGACGAACAAAUUUCUGCUCCCAUCAAGAUCUGG